UACGAGAGGUGCAAGCGUUAUUCGGAUUAAUUGGGUGUAAAGGGUGUGCAGACGGUUUAUUAAGUCAUUUGUUAAAUUCUUCGGCCUAACUGAAGGUAUGCAAGUGAUACUGGUAAACUAGAGGGUGGAAGAGAGAAGUGGAAUUCUCGGAGUAGCGGUAAAAUGCGUAGAUCUCGAGAGGAACACCAAUGGCGAAGGCAGCUUCUUGGUCCAUUUCUGACGUUCAAACACGAAAGCGUGGGGAGCAAACAGGAUUAGAUACCCUGGUAGUCCACGCUGUAAACGAUGAUCACUAGACGUUAAUUUUGUUUAACAGAAUUAGUGUCGUAGCUAACGCGUUAAGUGAUCCACCUGGGGAUUACGGUCGCAAGACUAAAACUCAAAGGAAUUGACGGGGGCCCGCACAAGCGGUGGAACAUGUGGUUUAAUUCGACACUACGCGAGGAACCUUACCUAGGCUUGACAUGCAUUUGACCGUCGUAGAAAUACGGCUUUUCUGGCUUCGGUUAGAACAAUUGCACAGGUGCUGCACGGCUGUCGUCAGCUCGUGUCGUGAGAUGUUGGGUUAAGUCCUCUAACGAGCGCAACCCUUGCCAUUAGUUGCUACUUGCGUAAGCAAGGCACUCUAAUGGGACUGCCUGGGAAACCAGGAGGAAGGUGGGGAUGAUGUCAAGUCCUCAUGGCCUUUAUGCCUAGGGCAACACACGUGUUACAAUGGUUGGUACAAAGAGAAGCAAGCUUGUAAAAGUAAGCAAACCUCGUAAAGCCAAUCUAAGUUCAGAUUGAGGUCUGCAACUCGACCUCAUGAAGUUGAAAUCGCUAGUAAUCGCGUAUCAGAACGACGCGGUGAAUACGUUCUCGGGCCU
rnacentral:rRNA from 1 species